rnacentral:rRNA from 1 species
UGGGGAAUUUUGGACAAUGGGCGCAAGCCUGAUCCAGCCAUGCCGCGUGCGGGAAGAAGGCCUUCGGGUUGUAAACCGCUUUGUCAGGGAAGAAAUCUUCUGAGUUAAUACCUCGGGAGGAUGACGGUACCUGAAGAAUAAGCACCGGCUAACUACGUGCCAGCAGCCGCGGUAAUACGUAGGGUGCAAGCGUUAAUCGGAAUUACUGGGCGUAAAGCGUGCGCAGGCGGUUUUGUAAGACAGAGGUGAAAUCCCCGGGCUCAACCUGGGAACUGCCUUUGUGACUGCAAGGCUUGAGUGCGGCAGAGGGGGGAUGGAAUUCCGCGUGUAGCAGUGAAAAUGCGUAGAUAUGCGGAGGAACACCGAUGGCGAAGGCAAAUCCCCUGGGCCUACACUGACGCUCAUGCACAAAAGCGUGGGGAGCAAAACAGGAUUAGAUACCCUGGUAGUCCACGCCCUAAAAACGAUGUCAAACUGGUUGUUGGGAAAGGUUCCUUCUCAGUAACGUAGCUAAACGCGUGAAAGUUGACCGCCUGGGGAGUACGGCCGCAAAGGUUGAAAAACUCAAAAUGAAAUUGACGGGGGUCAU